rnacentral:rRNA from 1 species
AGUGAACGCUGGCGGUAGGCCUAACACAUGCCAGUCGAACGGCAGCACAGUAAGAGCUUGCUCUUACGGGUGGCGAGUGGCGGACGGGUGAGGAAUACAUCGGAAUCUACUUUUUCGUGGGGGAUAACGUAGGGAAACUUACGCUAAUACCGCAUACGACCUACGGGUGAAAGCAGGGGAUCUUCGGACCUUGCGCGAUUGAAUGAGCCGAUGUCGGAUUAGCUAGUUGGCGGGGUAAAGGCCCACCAAGGCGACGAUCCGUAGCUGGUCUGAGAGGAUGAUAAGCCACACUGGAACUGAGACACGGUCCAGACUCCUACGGGAGGCAGCAGUGGGGAAUAUUGGACAAUGGGCGCAAGCCUGAUCCAGCCAGACCGCGUGGGUGAAGAAGGCCUUCGGGUUGUAAAGCCCUUUUGUUGGGAAAGAAAAGCAGCAGGUUAAUACCCCGCUGUUCUGACGGUACCCAAAGAAUAAGCACCGGCUAACUUCGUG